rnacentral:rRNA from 1 species
CCUACGGGUGGCAGCAGUGGGGGAUAUUGCACAAUGGGGGAAACCCUGAUGCAGCGACGCCGCGUGUGGGAAGACGGUCCUCUGGAUUGUAAACCACUGUCCCCAGGGACGAAGAUGACGGUACCUGGGGAGGAAGCUCCGGCUAACUACGUGCCAGCAGCCGCGGUAAUACGUAGGGGGCGAGCGUUGUCCGGAAUUACUGGGUGUAACGGGAGCGUAGGCGGGGAUGCAAGUUGGGGGUCAAAACUACCGGCUCAACUGGUAGUCGCACUCAAAACUGCAGCUCUUGAGUGAAGUAGAGGCAGGCGGAAUGCGUGGUGUAGCGGUGAAAUGCGUAGAUAUUAGGAAGAACACCGAUGGCGAAGGCAGCCUGCUGGGCUUUUACUGACGCUGAGGCUCGAAAGUGUGGGGAGCAAACAGGAUUAGAUACCCUGGUAGUC